UACAGAGGUCCCAAGCGUUGUUCGGAUUCACUGGGCGUAAAGGGUGCGUAGGUGGCGCCAUAAGUCAGGUGUGAAAUCUCGGGGCUCAACCCCGAAACUGCACUUGAUACUGUGGUGCUCGAGUACUGGAGAGGAGAUUGGAAUUUACGGUGUAGCAGUGAAAUGCGUAGAUAUCGUAAGGAAGACCAGUGGCGAAGGCGAAUCUCUGGACAGUUACUGACACUGAGGCACGAAGGCCAGGGGAGCAAACGGG
rnacentral:rRNA from 1 species